rnacentral:rRNA from 1 species
UACGUAGGGUGCAAGCGUUGUCCGGAAUUAUUGGGCGUAAAGAGCUCGUAGGCGGUUUGUCGCGUCUGCUGUGAAAACGCGAGGCUCAACCUCGCGCCUGCAGUGGGUACGGCAGACUAGAGUGUGGUAGGGGAGAUUGGAAUUCCUGUGUAGCGGUGAAUGCGCAGAUAUCAGAGGAACACCGAUGGCGAAGGCAGGUCUCUGGGCCACUACUGACGCUGAGAAGCGAAAGCAUGGGGAGCGAACAGG